rnacentral:rRNA from 1 species
AUUGAACGCUGGCGGCAUGCUUUACACAUGCAAGUCGAACAGUAACAGGGAGCUUGCUCCGCUGACGAGUGGCGAACGGGUGAGUAAUAUAUCGGAACGUACCCAAGAGUGGGGGAUAACGUAGCGAAAGUUACGCUAAUACCGCAUACGAUCUAUGGAUGAAAGCAGGGGACCUUCGGGCCUUGUGCUCCUGGAGCGGCCGAUAUCUGAUUAGCUAGUUGGUGAGGUAAAGGCUCACCAAGGCGACGAUCAGUAGCUGGUCUGAGAGGACGACCAGCCACACUGGAACUGAGACACGGUCCAGACUCCUACGGGAGGCAGCAGUGGGGAAUUUUGGACAAUGGGCGCAAGCCUGAUCCAGCAAUGCCGCGUGAGUGAAGAAGGCCUUCGGGUUGUAAAGCUCUUUUGUCAGGGAAGAAACGGCUGUGGCUAAUAUCCACGGCUAAUGACGGUACCUGAAGAAUAAGCACCGGCUAACUACGUG